UGAGCAAUAUGUGACGCUACAUGUCACAUGAUCACAACUGAGCCAUCGGUUCUUCUCUCUCUCUCUCUCUCUCUCUCUCGCUGCAGGAUUGUGGAUGAUCAUCGGUGCAAUGUCACAUUUCCGAGAAAUCCUCAAAAGGAGGCAAAAGCAAGUGUCAUCGGCACUAGCUGCCCUGGAACAAAUUUGAAAGUACUGCUUUAAAUGAC
rnacentral:lncRNA from 1 species